rnacentral:lncRNA from 10 species
UGCAGAUAUUCUUCAUUAUUCCAUCAUCAUCUCAAACCUCUUGGGUAUAGUGUUUGACUACUACUGUGACCAUAAAUUCCAAUAAAACCUAGGAAAAAUGAAACCACUACAUUAACUGAAAGGGAAGGAUUUGACAGCUUCUUUUGGGCAUAUCAGAAUCGCCAGCAUCACUACUCUUGCACUGUGCGGCCAUUAUUAAGUGAAAUAAGGAUUACUUGAACACAAGCACUGCAAUGCCGCUACAGUCAAUGUGAUAACCCAGCUGGUGACUAAGUGACCAAGGACGGGGAGUAUCUACAGCGGGGAGACUCUGGAAAAAGGGAGGAUUCACAUCCAGUGCCACUGGGGCAGGGCAGAAUGAGAGUUCAUCAUGCUACAAAGAAUGGCACAGAAU